rnacentral:rRNA from 1 species
GACGAACGCUGGCGGCGUGCUUAACACAUGCAAGUCGAACGGUGAAGCGCUUGCCUUUUUGGUGGGUGUGGAUGAGUGGCGAACGGGUGAGUAACACGUGAGUAACCUGCCCUCUUCUUCUGGAUAACCUCAUGAAAGUGGGGCUAAUACGGGGUAUUCCGGGUCUGUCGCAUGGCGGGUUUGGGAAAGAUUGCGCCUUUGGGUGUUUUCGGUGGGGAUGGGCUCGCGGCCUAUCAGCUUGUUGGUGGGGUGAUGGCCUACCAAGGCGGUGACGGGUAGCCGGCCUGAGAGGGUGGACGGCCACACUGGGACUGAGACACGGCCCAGACUCCUGCGGGAGGCAGCAGUGGGGAAUAUUGCACAAUGGGCGCAAGCCUGAUGCAGCGACGCCGCGUGAGGGAUGGAGGCCUUCGGGUUGUGAACCUCUUUCGCCAGUGAAGCAGGCCUGCUCCUGUGUGGGUGGGUUGACGGUAGCUGGAUAAGAAGCGCCGGCUAACUACGUG